AGGAGCGAGCCCUGGCGCGACUUCUCGCGGGGCCGCGGACUGCAGGUCUCUCAGCCCACGGGGGUGUCCGCUCUGUCCUUCCGCACUGGACGCGGGAAAACGGACAGCAGAUCUAAGGAGACCUGCAUCGCUAUUGAAUGAGCUUCACAAGAAGAAAACACAUGUCUGAAAGUGCUUCAAGUGCCUUCUCGCUCAAGAUUUGCUCUCCCCAAUCUGCUCCCAAGAAAGUGCCAAGGCGAGCCGCUGACUCAAAUAGCGAACCUUGCCGCCCUUUGUCAUUGGAUCCCCAACUUCAAGACUUUUUGCCUGGAUGGAGGGCAGUGGGUGAUCACCCCGAUAGGGCACCACCAGCAGACUGAGCCUCAAAGAGUAGCUGUGCCUUCAUAUAGUCCUAGGGGUCCAGGGUCUGGAGGUUUACAUUUUCCUGGCAUCCCUGCCUCUGGGGUUCUGGUUUGUUUAUGUGCUCUUUCCCACACCAUUUCAAACCCAAGGGAGUGAAAUGCGAGCUGCGGAAAAGCCAACUCAAGCCUGCUUCUGCAACCGCAGAGGGACCGCAGCGGUCUGGAAGAAGGAUGAGCUUUGAGUUCUGUUUCAUCAGUUACCUGAAGCUGUUCCUAUGCAGCUAUCCGAGCUCCGCCCUCCUCUGAAGCACACGGUCCUAGAAUAGCGGGAAGGUCGUGGACCUCACAUCUGUUUGGAAGAAAGGAGACAGCUCUUUUUUCAUGUCUUACUCCUAAGAGGGAGGAAAUGCUUCAUGAAAAGAUGCUAAACAACUGUUGUCAUUAGAGAAAUGCAAACUAAAGCCACAAGGAGAUACCACUCCAUCUCUACCAGGAUGUGAUCAAAAAGACAGCCUAACAAAUAGUGAGGAUGUGGUGAAACGGGACCCUCGUUUGUUUCUGGUAGGAAUAUAAAAUGGUGCAGCCAUUUUGGAAAGCAGUUUGGCAGUUAUUAAAAGUGUAAAUAUAAAUUUACCAUAUGAUUCACCCACUCCUAGGUAUUUAUAAUUGAGAGAAAUGAAAAUAUAUGUCCUUGUAAAGACUUGUGUGAUAAUGUUCACAGCAGCAUUACACACAUAGAAAUUCUAUAGGAUCAAUGACAGGUGGACUAAUUCUUCAAUAAAUAAAUUGGAGGGAGGAAAAAAACAGAGAUGGAGAGAGGAUCUGUAGAUUAAAAGACACUGAAGAAA
rnacentral:lncRNA from 1 species